AAAUAAAUAAAUAUUAUUUAAAACAGUAUUUAUAUGUACAAGUGGAUGUACAACUUUUGGAUACGUUCACAUUACGCCUGAGCGAAAUUGUUUGAAAACGUCACUUUUGUGGUAACAAAUUUGAGCGAGAUGGAAACGAAGCUCUUGGCGGCUUCAUGUGAACACAAACGCCCUUACUUUCUCAGGUCUCAAAACAAUAAAUUCUGCCGGCAUUAUUUUGCUCUGGUGUAGUGUGGACGGACUCUUAAAUUUAUUAUACUGACAAAGCACGCAAGGCAAUUAAAUGUUCCUCAAUGUUGUUGGUACGGCGAAUAUUUUUUAGAAUCCUGAUAUUGUUUUCUCUAAACUCUAAAUAUUAAGUCAGCUCAACUAAAUACGCGACAGUGUUACAGUUUUAAUCACCUGUUUUCUAACAUUAUACAAUAUACCAAUAGUUGUUCUUGACAUACGUGAGUUAUGUGUCUACAUUAAUUGUAUACGUCUUAUGAAACUAAUCAGUUCAUUUAAACUGGGCCAACUUUAGCAUGAGAAAAGACGGUUUUUCAAGAUCUUCAAUACCUUUUUCCCCUCUCUGCGUAAAAUGUCAUUCUUCCAGAAAAAGAUCACACAGUUCAAUGUGGAAUUCGCAGUAGCUACAGUGCCAGACCAAGAUUUAGACACACUCACAUUUUCUGAAGUCGGUUUCUCAACAAUGUUAAACGCAAUGAAGAAUAACGUUGGGGUAUACAUCAACACGAG
rnacentral:lncRNA from 1 species